rnacentral:rRNA from 1 species
UUAGCAUAUUAGUAAGCAGAGGAAUUUCAUCAAACAUGGAUUUUGUAAGUAGUUGCGAAUGAACACAAACUUGAUCAACUUGAAAAUUCUUUUGUGCACAUGCGUACAAUGAUUUUGUUUCAUUUGCACAUUCGCUAUCAAAGCUGCAUGCAAGUGAUUUUUGAAAGGAUACAACAUGGGAUGUGACAUUCAUGUCUGUGUGCUGGCUUUGCUUACAGCAUGUGCUCUAUGAUUCACAUUUCUUGCAAACUGAAAUGCAAAUUGCAUGGUAAAGCUCAUGUGAUGUGAUAUGUGAUUGAGAUUCAUGAUGUGCAAGUACCAUGAGGGAAAUGUGAAAAGGACUUUGAAAAGAGAAUUAAACAAAGCCUGCAAUUGCUGGUUGUAAACGUAAGUGAGGAUGCUCUCUGUAAUGUUAUUGCAUCAGGUGACAUCCAUACAUGUUGUUGAAUGCUUAACAUUAUUUAUUGCACCACUGAGUGUGCGUACCAGCUCUGAUUUGACUGCUUUCACAUGGAACAGCUAAAUGGAUGCAUGUGUGCAC